UUGAUACUAAAAGUCCAUGCAUAAUGCACAUUUGUUGUUAGCUAGUCAACGCCAGAGGUAUCAACACUCAGGCUCAGUCAAAAAAGAAUGUUCAUAGCCCUAUUGGGUUUGUCAAAGUCAUGUCAGAAUGUCACAGUAUGCAGCAGGUACUCCUUAUCCAGUUUCAGCCUCCUGUAGCAGACAGAUCUUCGUAAUAGGCCGGUCCAGGCAGCUGCUCUUCGUCUUGACACGCACCUGACGCACAAAUCCCUUCCGGUCUGGAAAAGUCUGUAGAACUCUCCCCAUGAGCCAGGAGUUUCGAGGAGCUGUGUUGUCCACAAUGAGCACUAUGUCUCCAGGGAUGAGGUUGCGCUUCACUCCUGUCCACCUCUGACGCUCCUGCAGCUGAGGCAAGUAUUCCUUCACCCACCUUUUCCAGAACAAGUCUGACAUGUAUUGUACUUGCUUCCAUCGCCUACGAGCAUAAACAUCAACUUCUUGACAGUUUGUUGGAGGUAGGGAUGGUGAGGUUUUCAACAAUAGGAGAUGGUUUGGUGCCAGUGCCUCCAGAUCAUUCGGAUCCCUUGAUGCCUUUGUGAUUGGCCGACUGUUAAUUAUGGCCUCCACCUCACAAAGAACUGUGUGAAGAUCUUCUUCAUCCAGGUUCUGCACAUUCAAGGUGGAGUUGAGGACCUUCCUCACAGAACGAAUUAACCUCUCCCAAGAUCCUCCAUGAUGCGAGCCAGCUGGGGGGUUAAAUGUCCACUUGAUUCCCCUCUGGAGAAGCAUAUCAUGGAUUUGUGACUGAUUCCACUGUUCAAUCGCCACCCUCAGCUCACGCUCCGCCCCCACAAAAUUCGUGCCAUUAUCAGACCGCAGUUCCAGGACUUGACCACGUCUUGCUAUGAAGCGUCUAAGAGCAUUAAUGAAUGAGUCGGUGUCCAGUGAAGGAGCCACUUCAAUGUGAAUUGCUCGAAUGGCCAAGCAUGUAAAGAUGACACCAUACCUCUUGACCACACUUCUUCUGCUUUUAACUUCAAAUGGUUUAAAAUAGUCCACGCCAACAUGUGUAAAUGGUGGUUCAUCCGGAGUAACUCUUUCGUGUGGCAAGUCCGCCAUCUGCUGAGACACUGGCUGAGCAUUCAGCCUCCGACAGGUGACACACUUUGAUAAAACUCUCCUCAUGACUGUACUGACUCCAGUGAUCCAGUACUUCUCCUGCAAUUUGGAUAACAUGUGGUUACGUCCACCAUGUCCCACUUCCUGAUGGAUGUGCCUAAGAAGAAGGUCUGAGAUGUGGAAUUCCUUUGAUAAUAUAACGGGAUGUUGAGCCUCCACAGGCAUAGAUGACUUGCUCAACCGACCACCAACUCUCAGAACACCAUCUUGUAGCUGUGGGCAGAGUCUGUGAAUAGGACUUCUGCCCUUCACACACUGCCCAUUUUGGAGUCUGGACAACUCCUCUGGAAACGUCUUCCUUUGACAGAACUUGACAAUUUCCAGCUCAGCUUUUUCAAGUUCCUCCACUGACAGAUGACUGCCCAUUGAUUCCCUUUUGAAAGUGUCCAUCGCCUCCUCCAAUGAACGUCUUUGUGAUUUUGCAUUCAAGUCAGAUUUAGCCAAAUCUGUGAUCAACUGUCUCCUUUUCUGAUAACAUGACAAAAGCCAGUUCCUGUACCUCAAUAUCCAAGCCACAGAUUUUCUCAGAGCAAUCCAAGAUGAGAAGCAGCGGAUCAUGCGACUCACAGUGUCAGCCUCUUCUCCAACCUGAGCAGCAUUCACCACAGCAGCUCUUUUGACCUCAGGGUCAUCUGGUGGAAGCUGGAUAACAUUCCCAAAUUUACUUGGCCACUCAGUCUCAAGCUGAAUAAGAAACUGUGGACCUGACACCCAAAUUUCAUUCUUGAGAAAUGCAUCCACCUUCAAACCUCUAGAGGCAAUAUCGGCUGGAUUACUUGCAGUGUCCACAUAUCUCCAUUGAGAAGGCUCUGACACCUUGAGUAUUUCUGAGACUCGGUUGGCAACAAAGACUUUAAACCUUGAAGUCUCAUUACCGAUGUACUUGAGCACAGACUCGCUAUCGGUCCAGAACACAGACUCCUGAAGGUUCAUGUGCAGCUCUUUCCUCCACAGGACAUCCAUGCGACUUGCCAUUGUUGCGGCAAUGAGCUCCAUUCGGGGUAUAGUAACAGACUUCAGUGGAGCAACCCUUGCUUUUCCCCCAAUGAAGGCACUGUGUACUUGUGAGUGUGAACCAUGGGACAGCAGGUAAGUAACUACUCCGUAACCAUCCUCACUUGCAUCACAGAAAUGGUGCAACUGUGUCUUAGUUGUGGCUCCAACGUUCUGGGGUUUCAGACACCUCAUGAGACUAAAGUUCUCCAGAAGACUGAGUUCCUGCAACCAGGUUAUCCACUUUUCAGCAACUGACUCCAUAAUGAUGUCAUCCCAUCCAAGUGAUCUCCUGCACAGAUCUCUUAGGAUUUUCUUUGCAGACAAGAUGACUGGACUAAGUAUCCCUAGAGGAUCAUAGAUGGAACUAACAGUGGAGAGAAUCCCUCUUCUGGUAAGUGGUCUGUCUUUGAUGACAAUCUUAAACUUAAAGGUAUCAGAGCGAAUACACCAUUCCACACCAAGUACUCUUUCCACAGGUAGCCGAUCCAAGUCCAUGUCCAACUCUUUCAUGACCUUUGCUCUUUGUGUUUCAGGCAUCACAGCUAGGACUUCACGCCUGUUGCUUGUCCAUUUAUUGAGAUGGAACCCACCCUUGGCACAGAUUGAGACAAGGUCAUGAUAGAGAGCUACUGCCUCCUCUUCGGUAGGUACAGACACCAAACAGUCAUCCACGUAGAAGCAAUGUAAGACCUUUUCUACAACUUCCUGGCUAAACUGUUCUUUAUGGUCCUCUGCACACUUCCUGAGGGCAAAAUUGGCACAGCUGGGUGAUGAGGUUGCUCCAAAGAGAUGCACCUUCAUCCUGAAGUCAGUAAGAGGUUGAUUCAGAUCCCCAUCUGGCCACCAUAAGAAUCUCAACAGAUCAGCAUCUCCAGCAGGUACCUUCACUUGGUGAAACAUGGCUUCCACAUCUGCCAUGAUCACCACCGGUUCCUUUCUGAAUCUAGUCACCACUCCAAUCAGUGAACUGGUUAGAUCAGGUCCUUGUAGCAGCUCAGCAUUGAGAGAUGUUCCCUGGAAACUAGCCCCACAGUCAAAGACAACUCUGAUUUUCCCUUUCGUACGAUGGUAAACACCAUGGUGUGGAAUAUACCAGACUUUGCCAUCUCCACGAUCUAUCUCACGUUCAGGCACCUUUUCUGCAUAACCUUUGGCAACAAGCUCGUUCAUGAAGGCAUUAUAGUCUGCAUGAAACGGUAAGUCCCUCUGAAGCCUUUUCUUUAGGUGCAAAGCACGCUGUACAACAAUACUUCUGUUAUUUGGCAUGCUAAGUUCUGGCUUCCUCAAAGGUAAGUUGAUCUGGUAGUGACCAUCCAUUUGCUUCGCAGAGUUUGUGACAAGUUCCAUGAACUUAUGAUCCUCUCUUGACAUUGCAGGUUGCUCAUCCAUACUGCUCUCAGGAAAAUCUGCUGCAAACUGCUGCUGCCAGAGUCCGUCCAAAUUCACAACAGACACUCUGUUUACUGUUACAUGUUGCUGCUCACAACUCAAUGUACUCCCACUGUCUCCUUUCAGUGGUCCAUUCACAGUCCAGCCCAGCAUUGUCUUUAUUGCAUAGGGUCCGCCAUUGGCACUGCGAAUGACUUGCAAAGGUUCCAGGGCCUGGGGAACAUUUGUCCCUAUCAGCAGCUCAAUCCCUGCAUCUAUAUCAGGCAGGUAUACAUGUUUCAAAUGAGGCCAAUCCUCAAGAUCACACUGUUUGGGAAUGUUACCUUUGUGGACAGGCCUGACACGAUAUGGCUGCUCACAACCUUCUCUUGGCCCAUGGUCCGCAAAAAAAUUUGCACUUUCCUCCCUGUGAGGCCCAGCUUGUGCACUAAACUGUCAGUACAAAAUACUGCUGUACUUCCCGGAUCCAAGAAAGCAUAUGUGGCAAGUAUUGUGGUGCCCUUCUGUGAUUUGACCUGAACGGGGACUAUGGGAAGUUUGCAAUCAUGAUCACCAGCCCCAGUAAGACCACUCGACACCAGAGUGCUGUCCACCAUCAUCUCUGCUUUCCUCUCAGCAUGAUCAGAAUCCUUCACCUUUUCUUUUGCAGGAAUGUGCAGUACAGUAGGAUGUUUGAGGCCACAUUUUCCACAAGAAAUCCAUUUUCUGCAAUCUUUACUGAUGUGUCCAAUACACAGACAGCCAAAACAGACACCUUUAUCUCUUAAGAAGCCUAUCUUCUCUUUGUGAGUCCUCUUCUCCAACUUGGGACACAGAUCCAAUGUGUGUCCUCCUCCACAGCAAAAACAUGUCUUCUUUGCUGAUUGCACAAAUUCCUGACCACUGACUCCAGGCUGAUUUCUCUUUUCCACAGGGGCCACAGGGGCCACAGGGGCCACAGUGGUGGCGAAGCUGGUCCCUUUCGUACCCGAACGAGGCUGUGUGGCAAAUUUAUGUACACCUCUAGGUAUGGUAACUGAGGGGGCAUCCUGAAUAUUUCCGAACACUGGGUCUGUCAGAAUUCUCACUUGUCUCUCAAUGAAAUUUGUAAUGUCUUUGAAUGUAGCUCUGUAUCCACGCCUCUCUUGCAGCUCACAGGCCUCAGAUCUCCAUUUGUCCCUGUACUUAUAAGGCAACUUCUUUAUAAUGGUUAGCAUGUUAGCAGGCAUAUCGAAGUCAUGCAAAUACUGCACCUCUUCCAUGGCAUUAGAACAGCCUCUAAGGAAAAGGCUGUAAUCCUGAAGAGCUUUAACAUCUUCUGUUUUGAUGGAGGGCCAUGAAAGAGCCUUUUCCAUGUAUGCCGCUGUAACCUUCUGCUCAUUACCAAAAUGCUCAGAUAACAAAACUUUAGCUUUAGCAUAUCCUCUCACUGGAUCAAGAUGCUGACAGCUUCUGAUUAGUUGUUUAGGAAGACCACUGGUAUACUGCUCCAAGUAGUAUCGUCGGUCACUGCAGCUCUCCGUGUUCGCUUCAACCCCAUUCUCAAAGGCCCUUCUAAAUGUGUGGUAUUUUAAUGGAUCACCAUCAAAAAUUGGGAUCGCCCUCCUAGGCAAGGAUGAGAGGCUUUGUUGUUGUAUUAAGAGUGAUGUUAUUUCAUUUUGCCUUCCCAUAAUAGACAGCAUAUUAUUUUGAUCCACAUUUCCUGAUCCAGCUCUUGCACCCAAGGCAUCUUGCUGUUGAACGUGCAUACUUUCAUUAGCAUUUUGACCUGCCUGUAGACUGGGUGCAUUAAGAGAGUAAGAAUGUGGCUGAGGUGCUUUAUUGUUUUCCUUUGGUUCAGUUGACUUCAGCGGAACAAAUGCCCUGGAAUCAGCUCUGAGAGGUUGUGAUGUUAAUUUUUGUUUUUCCAGGUAUGAAUUCAUUCCAUCUGAGUGUUUUGUUCUUGAACCUCUCCCACUUAAGAUGCUCCUGGAUCGCAACACAUCCAGUUUAGCCAUUUGAGCUGCAAUUUCCUCAUCCAAUUUAAGCUGUUCCUUCCUUUUCCGUAGUUGUUCCUCCUGUUGUUCCAGUUCAUGCUUGUCCUUUAAUAUUUUUUGUCUCGCCAUAAGUGCUGCCAAGUCAGCUUCAGCUUGGAGACGAACUGAAGAAGUGGUUGAAACAGCUGAUUUUCCUCCAAACACAGAACUUUGUGAUUUGGCUCCUCUUCCCACAUUAGACACACUGUCACUUGGUUUUACUUCAUCCGGUGGAUCAUCAGCCAUAAUUACUGACACAGCCUGCACUGCUGUUUGAGAGUGAUAAAUGUCAGAAAUGCACUCUCCAGUUGUUACAGCUUGGCCAGACUGAUCAGGACUGUCAUUGUGGAUCGAUUCCACUGUUUCACUCAUCCAUUUAUUCACAUUCUCCUUAAAUGUAUUGCUGUACCUCAUGAUGCUUGAGAACCAUUCAUCUUGUUUAGUUUGUUCAUCCUCUGGGAGUAAGGGAAGCAGCAUGUUGUGCAAUGUGGUGGCAUUCUCACAAAGUUCAUUUAAAUUGUCAGUAUGAAGUAGCACAGUAGAGACUUUUUCCUUUGUUUUCAUGAAAGUUUUCGUUUCUGGUAUGAGACAUUUAAUUUUGUGCACAAUGUUCUUGCGUUCUUGCUGAAGCUUCUCAAUUUUAUUUGCCAUGGCUUUGAAGGUGAGUUUAAUUUCUCUUUUUCCACACUGCAUUUCAGCAUUUGCAAAAUCGGCGUUUAUUUGACUCAUUUUCCUCCUUUAAUUUCCAGCGCAUGUUUUCCCCAAACCUUGCGCAUUUGAAACUGCGUCCAUGAAUCAAGAGGCAUUCUCCAUCAGACAGACAUUAUUUUUCCACAACAGCAAAGCACCAGUAACUUCGAGGAGACACAACGGAGAUUUCAAAAUAAAAGCAUGGAGACAUCCAGCACCGUGAGCCAUCAAAAUAUCAAAGCAUGAGUCCGGAGAACCAUAGGUCAUAUCAGGCAAUCCUCCCAAAUUGACAAUCAGCAUAUGCAAGCCGCAUUCCUUUCCUCAGUAAGGCUGAGAGCAGACAAGCUUACCUUGCCGCAGAUUCACAAUGCCGCGUGGCGUCCGGAGCUGUCAAUCAAACAGCGCUUACCCUCAUGCUUCAUCUCCGAUGCUUGCUCUUUUCAUUUUCCUCCGAA
rnacentral:lncRNA from 1 species